rnacentral:rRNA from 1 species
GACGAACGCUGGCGGCGUGCUUAACACAUGCAAGUCGAACGGAAAGGCCCUGCUUUUGUGGGGUGCUCGAGUGGCGAACGGGUGAGUAACACGUGAGUAACCUGCCCUUGACUUUGGGAUAACUUCAGGAAACUGGGGCUAAUACCGGAUAGGAGCUCCUGCUGCAUGGUGGGGGUUGGAAAGUUUCGGCGGUUGGGGAUGGACUCGCGGCUUAUCAGCUUGUUGGUGGGGUAGUGGCUUACCAAGGCGUUGACGGGUAGCCGGCCUGAGAGGGUGACCGGCCACAUUGGGACUGAGAUACGGCACAGACUCCUACGGGAGGCAGCAGUGGGGAAUAUUGCACAAUGGGCGGAAGCCUGAUGCAGCAACGCCGCGUGCGGGAUGACGGCCUUCGGGUUGUAAACCGCUUUCGCCUGUGACGAAGCGUGAGUGACGGUAAUGGGUAAAGAAGCACCGGCUAACUACGUG